UGCUUAACACAUGCAAGUCGAACGGGGAUAGCGACGGAAGUCCUUCGGGGUGGAAGAUGCUAUUCGAGUGGCGGACGGGUGAGUAACGCGUGAACAAUCUGUCCCAGACAGGGGGAUAACACUUGGAAACAGGUGCUAAUACCGCAUGAGACCACAGCGUCACAUGGCGCAGGGGUAAAAGGAGCGAUCCGGUUUGGGGUGAGUUCGCGUCCGAUUAGCCAGUUGGCGGGGUAACGGCCCACCAAAGCGACGAUCGGUAGCCGAUCUGAGAGGAUGACCGGCCACAUUGGAACUGAGAGACGGUCCAAACUCCUACGGGAGGCAGGCAGUGGGGAAUAUUGGGCGAAUGGGCGAAAGCCCUGACCCAGCAACGCCGCGUGAGUGAAGAAGGCCUUCGGGUUGUAAAGCUCUGUUAUAGGGGACGAAGGAAGUGACGGUACCCUAUAAGGAAGCCCCGGCUAACUACGUGCCAGCCGCUGC
rnacentral:rRNA from 1 species